CCUCUUAAUCCCUAUCCCCCUCCCUCCCCUGUUCCUUUAUAUCUCAUCUCAUCGAUCCUCCUCUGCUUCUGAUUCAUUAUCAAAAUCUCCUUUUGACCACAUAUUUCUCUUCGAUUUCAACUUUAUUCUUGGAAUCGAGCUUCAAAUUUUGAUUUUUAAUCGACGGGAGCUCGCGAAUUGAUCUCGAUCGGCGAUCUGUGCGUGAUUAAGCAGUCAUGGAGAAGUCAAUGAGGUCGGCGGCGUCCAUCAUCAGCUUCCUCCCCAAACGGACAGUCUUCUCUGGCGAUGGAAACGCGCACGCGCAAGGCCUCCAGCAGCGGCGAAGCUUCAUCGCUUCGAUCGUGCCGGUAGAGGUGCGGCGCAAGGGAAAGGGCGGAGCCGGAGGGGAGUUCGAGGAGCCAACUUCGCCGAAGGUCACUUGCAUGGGACAGGUGAAGCUACGUAAGAUGAGGUGCAAUAGUAAUGAGGAAACUAAGUCGCUGCCUCCGCCAGCGAAGCCCGACGCAGAUAAGAGGCUGAAGAGUAAGAGGACGGGCGACGCCUCCCUGUUUCUCAGCAGGAUGUUUCGCCGGCGCAGGAGGAAAUUUCCCACAGAGUCGGAGGAGGAGAAGGAAAUCGGAAGAGGAGAUAUAAAUCCGGCGUCGGCGCCGGCGCUGGGGACGAUGAGGUGGUACUCGAGCGGGCGGGAGACGCUGCAGGAUUUUGACUGGAGGAAGGUGGCAGAGCAGAGCGGCCGAGAGGAGGAGGACUACGGGGCGAUGGUGGCCCACUCGGGGCCGAUCAUAGUGGGGAGCGACGGAGCGGUGGCAAUGAACCCGAAGAAGAGGCCGCCACCACCGCCGCCGCCGAUUCCUCUCCAACUCUAGUAAUUAAUUAAUUAAUAUAUUGAUGUAUUAAAAUUAAUUUCCAUUUUUCUAUUUUAAUUUUUGCAAUUUUUUUGUUCUCUCUUGUAAUUUUCCAAAAACUCUCUAUUUUCUUUUAAAUAUUUUGUAAAUUUCUGGGGGAACAUGUAUUUAGAUGAAAUGGACAUUCCCAUUGGUAAGUCAAUUUGGGCCCAGCCAUUCCAGCCAAUAGCGGUGGACUACAAUGCUUCACUUGGCUAAUAAAGUAGCCUGCACUGCUGCUCUGGCUCUGCCCUCCGAUGAGAUCCAACGGCGGGUACAUCACGAGUCGCACGUUAUUUUCUACGCAGGGGCCCGUUCGUCACAUAAUGGACCCACGGCCUGGACGAGGACCUAUAAAAGCGCGGCAAUCCCUUCCGCCGCUUGGGUUUCUUCACUUCUCACUGGUCGUAUCCGAUAAAAGAGGGCGAAGCCUAAGAGUAUGGAUACAUCUAGUCCUGCCGUUUUUGUCAACUCAGAGAUUCUGAAAAUGUACCUGGGUCGAAGAGUCCGGGCUGUGAUUCAAGUCUUGCGAAAUGAUGCUGGAGCUAUUGUUGGUAAAUCAACUGAUGGGCAACAGCUAACUAUUAAGGGAUCUCAGGCCCUUCCCCUGUCCCGUUAUGUUGAGGUCAUUGGCAUUGCUGACAGCAACCAAUCAAUUCGAGCUGAAAUAUGCACUGAUUUUGGUGAAAAUUUUGAUGUGUCAGCUUACAAUGGGUUAUGCCAGCUCGCGAAUGGCAAAUUCAAGAAUUUAUUUCACUAGAAAACUGGUAGCUGCUGCUGGAUGUGAUCUUACUAGGGUAUAAAUCAGACCAACUAGCCACUGAGAUAAGAAAAACUUGUUUUCCUGUCGAUAUUCUUACGUCGUGAUAAAUGAACUGUCUGUGUGUGUUUCCUUGACAUAUUAUGGUCUGGGGUUGUUAUGGGCCAAUUCAUGGGCUGCCAUGGCAUGCGCCUGUUGGGCCUAAACUUUUUUGUGUUGUUUUUGGCCCAAAUCCAAUUACACCACUUGGAUCAGAUUUCUUUAUCUUGUACUUAUGAUCCCGCUAAUUUUUGAGACAUGCACAUCUUAAUGUUAUUGAUAAUGAAAGGGUUAGUGUAGUAUGAGCUAAGUAAAA